ensembl:lncRNA
GGAGAUGCACUGUGACCUCCUUGUGGAAGCUGUUCUUUGCUUGUUGUGGGUUUCAGACAUUUCAUCUCCCUGGGGAUCACAGCAACCAGGGCUGUGCUGAGUCCUGGCUCUUUCUCGAGGUGGCUGUGCAGGUGAAUGCUCUUGUGUUUAAUUGACAUCCUAUUUAUUGUUGAAGUGUUGCCCUUUUUGUGUUUUUUCUUCCCUUCUCUGUCCAGGAAGGAAGAUUUGGUUCAGCAAUCGGUCACAAGAGAUAAGCAAACAAGCUGAGAACACUUGCUCUGGAGCAUGUUUGAGAUCAGGCAGCUCUUCCUGACCCCUGUCUUGCCUCUCUCCUUCCCAGCAGCUCUCCCUGACUGCAUCAGGAAACUUCAUGGAGCCUUCUUGGAGGUGGAUUUUCCCAGGGAGUCAUCAGUGCUGCUGCCUGAUUUGUCAUUUUGUGCAGUGGAUAAAAGCAAUUUCAUGUUCGACUCUGAAACCCCUUGUUCACUUUAUGAAUAACUCCUGUGGCAUGGGUGGACCCUGGUCUGGACAUUUCUGCCACGUGUCCCAAACCCACCUUGCUUUUAUUAAAAGCCCACCUCUCACAAGUCAGGCCCUUGGAUGCCUCAUGCUCAGGGUGAUUCAUGAGCCAGCUCGAGGUGAAUCUUUCUGGCAGGUUUUGUUUCCUGUUCUGGGCAGACCUUGGAGCAUCAGGUUUCCACCCACCCCUUCUAGCAAGCAAAAGUCCUACGUUUAUGACUUCCCCUGAGGCACUGGGGAUGACUGAUCAGGCAGUUCUGACCAAAAAUGGCACAUGAAAUGUUUGGUCCUUGAGGAGCUGAGUAACGCGCUAAUGAGUGCAAGACAGAUCCUGCUGCUUCCCAUCCGAUGGGAAUUAAUCGUGCCUGUGCUGGAGCAGAACCAGGCUGCCUGCUCAUGCAUUGAUUAUGGCUUAACUUUCCAGAAAGUACAAUUGAGCUGAAGUUUUCAUGGAGUUUGAGCCAGGAGUGAUGCAGUCAAUGAGAACUGCACCAAGAGCUGUGCCCUGAGCAAGCUGCGAGCCAGGGCUGAGUUGCUGCAGUGUCCCGUGGUGAUCCUGGCAUUCCUACCUCCCUCUGGGCAGUGCCAAAAUGUUUUAUCUUUGAUGAACCAAAUUGCUUGGCUGAGUGCUGGGCCUUGGCACGGCCUGGUGUGUGUCAGGGGAAGGACUUCCCAAGGCUGUCCUUCCUGCUCAGGGUUUGGGGUGAGGACCUCGGGAAGGGCUUUCUGGACUGCUGAAUGUGGGACCUGCCCUGUCCUGGGCUGUGAAAGGUCAGCAGGGGCUCUGAAAGGGGAAUCAGCACCAGGGCUGCCUGAAGGAGCCUACUUGGGGCUCUUUGGUCGCUGGCAGAGGUUUAAAAAUGCUUUUAAUUUAAGUAGAGAGAAUGACCCCUUAAAUCCAACAGUCAGAGUUUAUUGUCCUGAGGAUCCCUGAUGGCUCCAGCUGCCCAGGCAGAUGUUGGGUGGGCAAAGCCCUCUGAAAAGCAAAGCUGGGCUUGGCUGAGCUGAGCUGGGCCAGCCCCUCACUUGCUCCCAGCCCGUGAAUCAAAGCCCAGCUCCAGCACUGCAGACAUGCCCACAGCACCAUCACUUAUUGCUUAACAAGUGCAUUAGUGUAAAUCAAGAGGCAUGUUUCAAUUAUCUAAUAGAAGAAUUAUUGAUCCACGCUCUCCUCCUGAACGUUCAAAUGUUCCAGGAGGAGAAGCAGUAUUUGUAUAUGCUAUAAAAAA